CCAUCCUCCGCCGAACACGCCGGGCCCGCCCGUCAGCCCCAAAGGCCUGCCCGCCUCCCAGGCCCGCGUCGCGCGCGGCGUGCGUCCGCGCCCAGCGGCACGCCGGGAGUUGUAGUUCGUGCAAGCGUCGCGGCUGGGCGCUGGGAAAUGUAGUCCGCCGGCCCGAGCGCUUUCAGAGAUGGGCGGGGACUCUACGUUGUCUGCACUCCAGAAAUACGUAUUUACUGAAUGCUGUGACCGGCUUGCUACCCGGGAGGAGCCUUUCACCAUGUGCGUCGGUUUGGACGUUAGAUGCUCCCAAAGUCCUGUCUUGAACCGUCUCAGAAGACGCUACGACGGCGGCAGACCCUUUAAGGAGAGGAGCUACUGGGAGGAAGUGAGGUCCUAGGGGCGUGCCCUCGGAGGGGCGGGUAGGAGGCAAGGUCGCGCGGGUGCACGGCGGGGCAUCGCGCUGUUUUGUCCACGCUUCCGGUUUCCGGUACGCUGCAGUAGCUACGCGAAGCGCAUCCGCUCUGGGAGGAGAAGCUGUCGCUAAUUGCUGCUCUAACCCACUUGCACUUGCAAGGUAGAAAAAUGCACGCUCAGAAUUCGCUGCACCCAGCAGAUACAAAAGUGAACCAGGCAGACGAACGGGACGCUGCUGUGGUGCUCGGGGAGGAAAGGACCCUGAAGUAGCAGCUACCUAGGAGGCGGGAUGGCUGCAGAGGGGUAAGGGCCCUGCGAGGUGGGGACGUCUGGCUCCCCUGCUCAGGCGUGCAGCCAGUGCCUGGAUCCAACGUGAGAGGCGCCCGGGAAGUCCCUGCAGGCUUGCAGCGUGCACUGGGUUGGGGAAGAGACAGGAAAAUAAACUGAGGAGUGACUGGC